AAAAAGACCAAAACAAACCCAACUGCAACUUCUAAAGAAUCGGGACAGGGUGUUGGGAACAAAAGCAGAGGGCUGCACAGGCCCCCCUGCACUCACCACCACCAAAGGGUGUUUCAGUAUGGUGGAUCAAUGAACAUAUUACAUCAUGGACUUCACAAUGCACCACCCUAUUACACAUGACAACUUACAGAAGAAGGUGUAGGAGGUCACAUCCAAGUCCCAAAAUGAAAAGCACACUGCCAUCUCCUGGAUCAAAUCUAAUAAGGCAGCCCUUGAAAAACCGAAUACAGCUCGGAGUAUAAACCAGAUCUACAGGAAGUAACUACACAUGAAAAUGAGACUCUUUGCUUUCCUUGUAACAAAUGUUAAGGAUAAUUAAAAUCAG
ensembl:lncRNA